UACAGAGGUCUCAAGCGUUGUUCGGAUUCAUUGGGCGUAAAGGGUGCGUAGGUGGCGCCGUAAGUCGGGUGUGAAAUUUCGGAGCUUAACUCCGAAACUGCAUUCGAUACUGCGGUGCUUGAGGACUGGAGAGGAGACUGGAAUUCAUGGUGUAGCAGUGAAAUGGGUAGAUAUCGUAAGGAAGACCAGUGGCGAAGGCGGGUCUCUGGACAGUUCCUGACGCUGAGGCACGAAGGCCAGGGGAGCAAACGGG
rnacentral:rRNA from 1 species